GCGUCACGGAGUAACUGAAUGAUAGCAUUGAGUAUAGAAAUUAUUAUUAUUAAUAAUAAUAAUUUGUACAUUGUGUUCUAUUUUAUCAAUUUCAUCCAUGCCCACGUCCAUAGACACGUAAAUGUAUAUUAUGUCCAUGGUCACACGUCCCGCCGUCCAGGCUGUUAUGAACAAGACUCGCUUCUCGUAAGUCGCCUCUGCAACGGUUGGCACUACCGUAGCGUCAUCGCACGGCGUCCGUGUCGGCGGCGGCGGCUGCCGAGCACGGCGGCGGACGCUGUCCAGGCUGUUAUGAACAAGACUCGCUUCUCGUCGGUCACCUCUGCAACGGUUGGCACUACCGUAGCGUCAUCGCACAGCGUCCGUGUCGGCGGCGGUGGCGGCGGCUGCAGAGCACGGCGGCGGACGCCGUCCAGGCUGUUAUGAACAAGACUCGCUUCUCGUCGGUCACCUCUGCAACGGUUGGCACUACCGUAGCGUCAUCGCACGGCGUCCGUGUCGGCGGCGGCGGCGGCUGCAGAGCACGGCGGCGGACGCCGUCCAUUGACGCAUUUCCAUUUUCGAGGCGUUUGCGCUCGGCCGACGGGCGCUCUCCGCUCUUGCAAUAUUUUUUUUUGCACGUGGUCGGCCGCUUUCCGCUUCGCUCCUGCCGUUUUUUUUCAACUCCGUCGUUUGGUCCGGACCAAGGUUAGUUGUGUCACGACUGCCUUGGUCUGGAACGUGGAUUUGCGAACAUUUUGGAGAAGCACGCGGCUGAAAGUCAUGAUCAUUGGUCCUAUGCAUCAAUAUGGGCGGAAGAAAAAUAAGAUGACGGCCAUACUAGCAGUAACACUCAAAUCUCAAAAUUCAAAACUCAAAAAUAAUUCAUUGUUUUCACCUUCUACUGUGGUCAUGGUAAUAUAAUCCUAAACAAAUCCAUUUUCGUGUGCGUACUUCAGAAAUAUAAUUACUCCGAUCCUGUAACAUCCGUACUCCGAGAUCAACCGUUUUUAUAUACGUAUUCCAUGCAGUCUAAAUGUUCAAUUGCCAUAGCCUUGGCA